GCUUCAAACUCCUGCAACUACGACGGAGUUCCAGCUGUUGAGGGGCUGCGCCGAGCGGUGGAUCUCUGCGCUUGCCCCGGCAGCUGGAGCCAGUUCUGAGCAGGAAGCUGAAGGGCGGUGCUGGGA